UACGGGAGGCAGCAGUGGGGAAUAUUGCACAAUGGGCGAAAGCCUGAUGCAGCUAUGCCGCGUGUAUGAAGAAGGCCUUAGGGUUGUAAAGUACUUUCAUCGGGGAGGAAAAAACAAAACUAAUAAUUUUAUUUCUUGACGUUACCCGAAAAAGAAGCACCGGCUAACUCCGUGCCAGCAGCCGCGGUAAUACGGAGGGUGCUAGCGUUAAUCAGAAUUACUGGGCGUAAAGAGCACGUAGGUGGUUUUUUUAAGUCAGAUGUGAAUCCCUGGGCUUAACCUAGGAACUGCAUUUUGAAACUGAAAUACUAGAGUAUCGUAGAGGGAGGUAGAAUUCUAGGUGUAGCGGUGAAAUGCGUAGAUAUCUGGAGGAAUACCUGUGGCGAAAGCGGCCUCCUAAACGAAUACUGACACUGAGGUGCGAAAGCGUGGGGAGCAAACGAGGAUUAGAUAC
rnacentral:rRNA from 1 species